rnacentral:rRNA from 1 species
GGAGCUGGGCGUUGAAUGUGAGUGCCAAGUGGGCCAUUUUUGGUAAGCAGAACUGGCGCUGUGGGAUGAACCAAACGUUCGGUUAAGGUGCCUAACGCGACGCUCAUGAGAUACCACAAAAGGUGUUGGUUGGUCCAGACAGCAGGACGGUGGCCAUGGAAGUUGGAAUCCGCUAAGGAGUGUGUAACAACUCACCUGCCGAAUCAACCAGCCCUGAAAAUGGAUGGCGCUGGAGCGUCGGACCUAUACCGGACCGUCAUUGCAAGCUGAGUCGGUAAUGUGUGGUGUGAGGGCAAGCCACAUGACUCAGGCGCGGAAUUGUUGUGACGAGUAGGAGGGUCGCCGUGGUGAGCGGGAAGCUUCGGGCGUGAGCCUGAGUGGAGCCGCCACGGGUGCAGAUCUUGGUGGUA